UACGUAGGUGGCAAGCGUUGUCCAGAUUUAUUGGGUUUAAAGGGUGCGUAGGCGGUGACCUAAGUCAGUUGUGAAAUACGGCAGCUUAACUGUCGAGGUGCAAUUGAUACUGGGUUACUUGAGUACUGAUGAGGUAUGCGGAAUGGACGGUGUAGCGGUGAAAUGCUUAGAUAUCGUCCAGAACACCGAUAGCGAAGGCAGCAUACUAAGGAGUAACUGACGCUGAGGCACGAAAGUGUGGGGAUCAAACAGG
rnacentral:rRNA from 1 species